rnacentral:rRNA from 2 species
CGAAAGUUAGAGGUUCGAAGGCGAUCAGAUACCGCCCUAGUUCUAACCAUAAACGAUGCCAGCCAGCGAUCCGGCUGUGUUCCUCAAAUGACACGCCGGGCAGCUUCCGGGAAACCAAAGCUUUUGGGUUCCGGGGGAAGUAUGGUUGCAAAGCUGAAACUUAAAGGAAUUGACGGAGGGUCACCACCAGGCAUGGAGCUUGCGGUUCAAUUUGACUCAACGCAGCGAACUCUACCAGGCCAGGACACAGGAAGGAUUGACAGAUUGAGAGCUCUUUCUUGAUUCUGUGGGUAGUGGUGCAUGGCCGUUCUUGGUUCGUGGAGCGAUUUGUCUGGUUUAUUCUGAUAACGGACGAGGCUCUAGCCUACUAAAUAGACGCUCCGAUUCUCCUAGUCGGGCGUUUCUUCUUAGAGGGACUGGCGGCGUUUAGCCGCACGAGGCAGAGCAAUAACAGGUCUGUAAUGCCCUUAGAUGUCCUGGGCCACACGCGUGCUACAAUGAAGGAAUCAUCGUGUGCUUUCCCUGUCUGAGAGGACUGGGUAACCCGUUGAACUUCUUUCGUGCUGGGGAUAGAGAUUUGCAAUUUUCUCUCUUGAACGAGGAAUUCCUAGUAAGCGUGAGUCAUCAUCUCGCGUUGAUUAGGUCCCUGGCCCUUGUCCACACCGCCCGUCGCUAUUACCGAUUGAAUGAUUUAGUGAGGUCUUCGGACUGGCGCUCGGAUUGGCUUUCGGGUCGAGCCGACGUGCCGGAAGAUGACCGAACUUGAUUAUUUAGAGGAAAUAAAAGUCGUAACAAGG